CAUUUUCAGGCAGACUUCUCUGAAUAUCAAGAUAUACAUGAUAGUUCCUAAGUUGGAAAGGACUUCUGUAUUCUGUGUUUAUAGAAAUGAAGCAUUUCAACUGACAUUGUAGUGCCACAAAAAAAUUGAGAGACACUUGCCUCACACUUCCCACAAAUUAUAGGCUACUUGUGGGACUUGUUCAGACUUGGUUCACUUUGAAUGAUGUUUAAUAUUACUAAAAACAGCAAAAUAUUUGAAAGUUAAAUGCUGCUUUCAGAAGUGAUAAAAUAUUUAAGAGUUAGCUGAGAGCCCAAAAAACUGUGUCACAGUCCCCAUUGCAAUUGCAUCUACUUCUCUUAUACAACAUGGUUUUUGCUCGUACAUAAUGGAAAUACUAAGUCAUGUCUUGAACCAGUGAUUGAGCACCUGGUGGGAAGGCAGGACCAACCCAGAGCCCAGCAAUGCACCUGAGUGACUGGAAGGGGCGAAGCCAGGAUCCAUCCCUUCCCAGACCUCAUUUAAGGGUUGGUAGGUGGAGGCAGGGGUAUCUCUUUGGAGAUCCUUUUGCACCUGAGGCUUCUAAGGAAAUAAUUCAAAGCAUGUGAAGCUCCACAUCGUGUGAGAAACACUAUUGUAUCUGACCCUGGAACUUCCAAAGGCAGCUCCAGUGAGAGUCUGGGAAUUAUGUUAUUUCUUUCCUCAGAGAGUUCACACUUUAACAGAUCUGUGUACCAGAUUCCUUCUAAGAAAUCUCAAAUGUCUUUGGCAAGAGGAAAUCACUGUGGAGUCUGACUGGAUCAAGGAGAACAGGGCAUGCUCACUGUGAGGGAUUCCACAGUCUCUCUGUUCAAGAUGUUUGACUUCUAGUGAAUAUAAUUCUUAACUAAACUGGAUCAAGGCCUCCUAUGUGGGAAUUAUUAAAACCUGCAAAGAAUAGGGAAGUUCAGAAAUCAUUGGAUGCUGAACUCUAUGAAGAUGUAGAAGACUCACAUAAAAGAAAGAAAUGCAUUGUUCUCCAUGUGUACUUGUGUCUGAACAAGAAUUACAGGGCUUAAAAUGUAAGGAAGAUGCCUCUGUGAAAUGUGUGUCUACCUGAAGGACAGGGAGGAGGACCUCCUCUUCACAAAUGUGCCUGGACAGUCUAUCUCUUUCUGAUCUAAGUACAGUGUGUUUGUGCUUUUGCAGAGGAUACACUGAUGAUGACAGGCUUAAUUAGUUGUAUCUAUAAUUAAUAUGCUCUAUAAUGUUUGAUAUGUGGAAUAUUAAAUACCUGAAAGAGUUUUAAGAUUUUACCUGACUGAAUCCAAAACAUUAUGAAAAUGGGAACUGGGAUUUUUCUAUAUAUUUUCUGUAUAUUUCUGUAUUUCCUAUAGAAACAUACUGAAGUCAAAAGUACAGCUAGAAGAUGAUAUUCUUGUAUCUAUGGUCAUUUAAUUUACAUGCUUUGUUGUUUUUUUUUUUUUUUUUUAAAUUCAUCCUUCAAAGCACAGUUUGAGUUUCAGUUUUUCAAUUUAAAACAGCGUGCGAUUAUUCACAUUGUUUUACCAUCAUCUCUUUCUCGCUUUGUGUAACCCGGUGGGUGGAUCGUGUUACAACUGGAAAACUAAUUGUGUUCUGUCUUCAUGAAGAGAAGGAAUUAGUAUGUAAAUGGAGUGGUGGCAGUAUAGAAGAAGCUAAGCUGUAGAGGUUAUGCUUCGUAAACUGGGAACGCACAGAAUUUGCUGAAAGUUUCCAGAAGCUCACCAUGCAGUCACUAUGCAGUCAGACGGUGCUUUUGAGGUGUUUCUGAUAGGUGUAUGGCGAUGGCCUCUUGUAGGCUGCAGUCACACAUCUUACUGCACAGGCCCUCCUGCAAGGCAUCAGAGUAAAGCUUCCACUAGACAAGUCCAUGCUAGGUGGAGGGUUUAGUAAGUUGUCGAUUAGGUGGGAGGUUGUGUAACCAUAUUUAGAGGUUUCUGAGAGCAACACUAAUGCAAGACUUCUCCCAGCAAUGACAAGAUACAGAUGAUUUAACUUAAGAACAUUGAGGUUUUUGAAACUCUGUUUUCAAGAUCGUGUCUUUGACUUCCUAAAAUCCGGCACCUAUUUUAUGGAAAAGAAUCUGUAUUCUACUUCAUUUUGUUGACAAAUGGUAUGAAAAUGUUCACUUCCAAAUUUAUUAAUUUUCAUGUAAAGACCUGAACAUGUGAUAAAGACAAAUUGUACUUCUGUGUCCAUAACACUGUUUCAAUGACAUGUACACUUCCACCUCAGAGACCAAGUCCAAGAAGAAUUAAACACAAAUCUGUUGCCAUGCAUUUGUACAACUGACUUAGUCAUUUUUGUAUAUAGGAAUGAAUAACUGCAGCUGUGUUCCCUACAGUAGAAUUGGUGAACAGAAGGUAAAACUUCUGAAAAUAUCAGCUAGGUCAUCCUAUAAUGAGGGACUGAAUCUGGGGCAAACAUACUUGAGGAAUGUAGGGAGUUCAGAUAGGCUUUUUCACG